rnacentral:tRNA from 1 species
GGGUGGGUUAGCUCAGUGGUUAGAGCUUACGCCUUGUGACCGGAAGGUCCAGGGUUCAAAUCUCGCCAGAGGCA